GGGGAAUUUUGGACAAUGGGGGCAACCCUGAUCCAGCCAUGCCGCGUGAGUGAAGAAGGCCUUCGGGUUGUAAAGCUCUUUCAGACGGAAAGAAAACGCAUCGGUGAAUACCCGGUGUGGAUGACGGUACCGUAAGAAGAAGCACCGGCUAACUACGUGCCAGCAGCCGCGGUAAUACGUAGGGUGCGAGCGUUAAUCGGAAUUACUGGGCGUAAAGCGUGCGCAGGCGGUUAUGUAAGACAGAUGUGAAAUCCCCGGGCUCAACCUGGGAACUGCGUUGGUGACUGCAUAACUAGAGUACGGCAGAGGGAGGUGGAAUUCCGCGUGUAGCAGUGAAAUGCGUAGAUAUGCGGAGGAACACCGAUGGCGAAGGCAGCCUCCUGGGCCAGUACUGACGCUCAUGCACGAGAGCGUGGGGAGCAAAC
rnacentral:rRNA from 1 species